GUAGCGGAGGGGGCUAGCGUUGUUCGGAAUUACUGGGCGUAAAGGGCGCGUAGGCGGUGCGAUAAGUCAGGCGUGAAAAGGCCCGGGCUCAACCCGGGGACUGCGCUUGAUACUGUUGCGCUGUGAGUCCGGGAGAGGAUGGCGGAAUUCCCAGUGUAGAGGUGAAAUUCGUAGAUAUUGGGAAGAACACCGGUGGCGAAGGCGGCCAUCUGGACCGGCACUGACGCGUG
rnacentral:rRNA from 1 species